GUGGGGAAUUUUGGACAAUGGGCGCAAGCCUGAUCCAGCAAUGCCGCGUGCAGGAAGAAGGCCUUCGGGUUGUAAACUGCUUUUGUACGGAACGAAACGGUCCGGGUUAAUACCCUGGGCUAAUGACGGUACCGUAAGAAUAAGCACCGGCUAACUACGUGCCAGCAGCCGCGGUAAUACGUAGGGUGCAAGCGUUAAUCGGAAUUACUGGGCGUAAAGCGUGCGCAGGCGGUGCUGUAAGACAGGCGUGAAAUCCCCGGGCUCAACCUGGGAAUUGCGCUUGUGACUGCAGUGCUGGAGUACGGCAGAGGGGGAUGGAAUUCCGCGUGUAGCAGUGAAAUGCGUAGAUAUGCGGAGGAACACCGAUGGCGAAGGCAGUCCCCUGGGCCUGUACUGACGCUCAUGCACGAAAGCGUGGGGAGCAAACAGGAUUAGAUACCCUGGUAGUCC
rnacentral:rRNA from 1 species